rnacentral:lncRNA from 1 species
CUCUUUUCUUAUUUUCUUCUAUACUUAUCAAAGCCCUUAGCCGAUGCCCUGCUAAAUCAUCCAACUCGUCUUUUAUCAAAGUAGCAUAUGUUGGGUAUUUUAAACGCAAACAGAAAAAUCCACAAGCGCACGGAUACCGAUGUAGCCUUCACCCGGGAGUAUUCAAGAGUAUCGAUUUUCCACAGGGAACGUGAGUGUACUAAUUAAGAUCCA